rnacentral:piRNA from 1 species
GAGACCAAUGAAAUCGCCAAUGCCAA